AAAAAAACACCCCCUUCUGUCCACCAUUUUAGGGAGAGAAAAGGAAUACCUCAGCUGCUCUCCUAUCUCACAUCCAAAUGGAAAAGGCAGAAACCAGCUUGUUUCCUCACUGCAUUAGAGGUGAGAGGAAGCAGAAUAGGAAGAGGGCAGGAAGCAGCCAACAAAGGAGAAGACUGCCCCCCAGCCCAUCUCUACAUGAAAUUCGGGCAGAGAGUGCAAGCUGAGGAGGAGUGAGGGAGAGAAGUCACCUUUCCACAGAGGGAACGACGGCACGCCGAGCACUCGCUGUACUCAGGGAACGUCCCCUCAGCCUUGGUGUCCUCCCAUGCCUAUGUGUUUGUUGGAACUGCAGUGCCUGGCAUGAGAAGUCUGGGUGCGAUGCCAUGAGCUGCCUGGGCAGGGCUAGACUGCAGCAAGUCUUGACAACUCUCCUUGUUCAAACACAGGUCUUUUUGCUUUAAUUAAGGUAAGCUAGGAAAAGAGUUAAAACUAUGAAACUGUAAAUGAGAAUGCGUCUAUGCUCUAGUUUCCCUCUUCACUGCUCCCAUAUUACUCCCAAAUCAGAAUGUUUCUUCUGUUAAAUGCUUUAGAGAGAGGAAGGGGUACUGAGGGUCUUAGCCCCAUCUUCCCGUUCAGAGGACUGCUGUAAUACAGAAAGCAAAGUCCUGUGCUAAUAUUCAACUUAAUUAACUACGGGAAUUCAGCAGGCAGCUUAUAAGGCAGUAAUCUGAGCACCAGCCAGCUGUACCUGUGAGCAGCACCACAAAGGCAAAGGGCAGGAGGGUACUCAUCAUCACUGAUACGUGUCUGCUUAUGUAGGUAUUAGUUGGGAAAUGCUAAGGGUUCUCAGUGUCGCUCUUUCCUGAAGAGUAGCAAAUCCAUACAUACAGAGAUGAAGAUAGAUGUGCAAUCUGAUUGAUUUUAUUGAGUAAUAGUCUGAGAGCUACAAUCGUGAAUUAGAAGAAGAACAAAACAAAACAAAACCACAAAAACCAUUCCCCUCAAAAAAAAAAAAAAAUCCAAAUUUCCCCAUAUUUUGGGAAACGAGCUGAAGAAAACAUUCUACACUGUAGAAGACAGCUGUAUCUGCUGAUAUCCAUGUCCUGACAUCGGAACUGAGCGGCUGCAGCUCUGCAGCGUGGAGUCCUAAAGCCUCAACCAAAAGAGGCUUAAUAGUAACAACAUGGAUAUAUUCACCACCGGGAAGAUGUUAACAUGUUAACAAAGAUUCUGGGAUACCAAUCUGGUAUAAUCAGCAACAUACUGGGUUCCUACGAAAGAUGUGGCAUUGCUCCUUAACAUCAGCUUUUAGAGAACUUUGAAAAACAAGGUUUGAAACUGCUUACAGCACUCCUUUCCUUGCAGAAAAGCACAAAGAUCGGAGUUCAAUAAAAA
rnacentral:lncRNA from 1 species